AUACCCGUUGAUCCUGCGGGAAGUUGCUGCUAUUUGGGUUCGACUAAGCCAUGCAAGCACGGACUUUUUAGAAGUACCGGCAUAUUGCUCAGUAACACGUCGAUAAUCUAACCUUAAGUCUAGGAUAACCUUGGGAAACUGAGGGUAAGACUGGAUAAAGGAAAGGCACUGGAAUGUCCUUUCCUUUAAAAGUAAUGCUUAAGGAUGAGUCGGCGGCGGAUUAGGUAGUUGGUGAGGUAAAGGCUCACCAAGCCGAAGAUCUGUAGGGGCCUUGAGAGAGGGAGCCCCGAGAAGGGCACUGAGAUACUGGCCCUAGCCCUACGGGGUGCAGCAGGCGCGAAACCUUUACAAUGCACGAAAGUGUGAUAAGGGAACCCAAAGUGCUUAGUUUAACUAGGCUUUUGCCAAGAGUAAAUAUCUUGGAGAAUAAGUGGUGGGCAAGACUGGUGCCAGCCGCCGCGGUAAUACCAGCGCCACGAGUGGGAACUAUAAUUAUUGGGCCUAAAGCGUCCGUAGCCGGUUUAAUAAAUUUCUUGUGAAAUUGUUGAGCUUAACUUAACAACGUGCAGGAAAGACUGUUAAACUUGGGAUUGGGAGGGGUUAGAAGUAUCUUUGGAGUAGCGGUAAAAUGUUAUAAUUCUAAGGAGACUACCAAUGGCGAAGGCAUCUAACCAGAACAAGUCCGACGGUGAGGGACGAAAGCUAGGGGAGCAAACCGGAUUAGAUACAAAUGAAGCGUCAUUUGAUAACGCACGCAAGUGCAACAUUAGCUACGCUAAGUUGCACGACAUAUAUGUUGUUUGCAAACAAAACUAUUAACAUAUAAAUGUGCUAAUAUAUCGUUUCAUUAAUGCUAAAGACCCGAGUAGUCCUAGCCGUAAACGCUGCGAGCAAGAUGUUGCAUAUUCUUCGUGAAUAUGCAGUAUCGAAGAGAAGUCGUUAAGCUCGCCGCCUGGGAAGUAUGGUCGCAAGACUGAAACUUAAAGGAAUUGGCGGGGGAGCACUACAAAGGGUGCGGCGUGCGGUUUAAUCUAACUCAACGCAGAGAAUCUCACCAGAAGCGACGGUAGAAUGAAAGUCAGAUUAAAGGUCUUACUUGACGAGCCGAGAGGUAGUGCAUGGCCGCCGUCAGCUCGUUCCGUAAGGUGUCCUGUUAAGUCAGGCAACGAGCGAGACCUGUACCUAUAAUUGCCAGCAGCAGAAUUUCUGGACUGGGCACAUUAUGGGGACUGCCCUGGAAACAGGGAGGAAGGUGCAGGCUACGGUAGGUCUGUAUGCUCCGAAUCUUCUGGGCUACACGCGCGCAACAAUGGUAGAGACAAUGGGAUGCAACUCCGAAAGGAGAAGCUAAUCCUCCAAACUCUAUCUCAGUUCAGAUUGAGGAUUGUAACUCAUCCUCAUGACGCUGGAAUCCCUAGUAAUCAGGUCUUAUCAUGGCCCGGUGAAUAUGUCCCUGCUCCUUGCACACACUGCCCGUCAAAUCAACCGAGUUGAGCUUAGAUGAGAUUUAAUUUUUUGAUUAAAGCGAAUCUGGGCUUAGUGAGGUGGGUUAAGUCGUCACAAGGUCACCGUAGGGGAACCUGCGGUGGGAUCACCUCCUU
rnacentral:rRNA from 1 species